AGGGACUCCACCCUCCCUCCGCCCUCCUCCCUUACUCAAGGGCUAUAAAAGAGCUGAGCCAGAGACCUGGAUGCUUUUUACACCUGGAUACGCUGGCGAAGCUUUGAAGGAGAUGAGCAUCUCCCAGGAAAGGGGCAGGGAACUGUAUACACAAACGGGUGUCAGAAGAGCAAGAGCUGAGCGCUUCAGCACCGGAGGUCGGACAGCUCCCCGCCUUCCGACUGAUCUGUGGUGAAGGCACAUUCUUCGACCAAGAACACUGUAAGGCAGCUCCCAGCAGAAGCAGGAAUCGUCGGAUCUAACUGGGGUGCCCACUUCAGGUUGCAGGAGAGAGCUAGCUGACCUUCGGUCAACAGGAGCAAGGGAGAAUGCAAUGCCCACCAGCUUCAUAGUGUUCUAGUAUUGUGGGAACCACACUGGCUGAAUCUUCUGCUGCUCUUGUUUGGAUAUGAGGUACCCAAGGCAGACACUUAAACAGGAACAGGGAGACCAAAUUAGCCUAAGUUUUGGCCAGAUGGAGAGAUGACAUGUUGAUAAGAACACUUGGCCCAGAGGAAUAAAUUUGAUGAUUGAAUUAAGAUCUCAUUGAGAUAAAUCACAAUUUCAAAAUAGAACCUUCUAUAUUUCUUUUCACCAUUGACUGGCUGUGUGACUCUGAAAAGAAGACUGAGGAGACAGAGAAGGGGAUGUCAAUGGUACGGAAUCAUAGAACUAGAAGAUACCUCGGAUACCAUUGGGUCCAACUCAUGACCAAGAAUUCCCUCUACAUUCAGCCCAUCAAGUGGUUAUCCAGACUCUGCUUAUAGACUUUUCCUUAGGAGGAACCCCCUUCCUCAAAAGGCAGUCCAUUUGAUGCUGGUCCUAUACCCUCCCAUCUUCUCCAACAGAUUAAAUUCCUUUUCUAUCUUUAAUCUUCAGUAUCUCUCUACUGGUAGCUACUAUUAUCUGCCUACAAACACAACCAUAUCUCCAUCCUUUAAAAAACAAAAACCUUAGUAGAGCCUACUAUAUUUGUCCUUUUCACAACCAAAUUCCUAGAAGUUGUCUCUACUUUCUUUUCUGUUGCUCACUCCUCAACCCUUUGUAAUCUAACUUCCAGCCUCAUCACUUGACUGAAGCUGUUUUCUCCAGUGACCCUUAAUCUCUUAAUCUUUCUUUCUCCCUCCUCCCUCCCCCCACCUCUCUCUUUCUCUUUUCCAGGUAAUGAGGGUUGUGACUUGCCCAAGGUCACACAGCUAGUUAAGUGUCAAG